GAUGAACGCUAGCGGCAGGCUUAAUACAUGCAAGUCGUGGGGCAGCAGGUCUGUAGCAAUACAGAUGCUGGCGACCGGCAAACGGGUGCGGAACACGUACACAACCUUCCUUUAAGUGGGGAAUAGCCCAGAGAAAUUUGGAUUAAUACCCCGUAACAUAAUGAAGUGGCAUCACUUUAUUAUUAUAGCUCCGGCGCUUAAAGAUGGGUGUGCGGCUGAUUAGAUAGUUGGCGGGGUAACGGCCCACCAAGUCGACGAUCAGUAACUGGUGUGAGAGCACGACCAGUCACACGGGUACUGAGACACGGGCCCGACUCCUACGGGAGGCAGCAGUAAGGAAUAUUGGUCAAUGGACGCAAGUCUGAACCAGCCAUGCCGCGUGGAGGAUGAAGGUCCUCUGGAUUGUAAACUUCUUUUAUUUGGGAAGAAAUCUAUCUUUUCUUGGAUAGUUGACGGUACCAGAUGAAUAAGCACCGGCUAACUCCGUGCCAGCAGCCGCAGUAACAC
rnacentral:rRNA from 1 species